AUGGAGCUGCUCCCCGACGACGUGCUCGCUUGCAUCCUCCGCCGCCUCAACGCGCGCAGCCUCGCGGCGUCCCGCUGCGUCUGCAAGGCGUGGCGCCAUGUCGUCGACGCCCGGAGCCUGCUGCGCGCGGACCUCCUCCCGCUCUCGGUCUAG
rnacentral:rRNA from 1 species